CAUGGCGACCAAGGCUAUGGCAACCAAGAGAAGCCAAAUUUGUUCGUGCGGCUGGAGCGCCCGCCGGCUUCCACGCCGAUGGCUCUCUACGAGCUCUUCUCUCACCCCGCCGAGCGCGGCUACCGCGCGGGCCUCUGCUCCAAGGCCGCGCUGUUCCUGCUGCUGGCCGCCGUGCUCACCUACAUCCCGCCGCUGCUGGUGGCCUUCCGGAGCCACGGCUUCUGGCCCAAGCGCAGCAGCUACGAGGAGCAGCCGAGCGUGCGCUUCCAGCACCAGGUGCUGCUCGUGGCCCUGCUGGCGCCCGGCAGCGACGGCUUCCUGGCCUGGAGCACGUUUCCCGCCUUCAACCGCCUGCAGGGCGAUCACCUGCGCAUCCCGCUCGUCUCGGCCAGAGAAGAGGACCGGAACCAGGACGGGAAGCCGGACGUGCUGCACUUUAGGCUGGAGCUGCCGCUGCGGGCGGCAGAGCACGUGCUGGGCGUGCAGCUCAUCCUGACGUUUUCCUACCAGCUGCACAGGAUGUCCAUGUUCGUGAUGCAGAGCAUGGCUUACCUGCAGUCGUCCUUCGCCGUGCCCGGCGCCCAGGUGUACGUGAACGGAGAGCUGAGACUGCAGCAGAAGCAGCCGCUCGGCUCCAGCGGCCUGGACACGCGCUACAACGUGUCGGUCAUCAACGGGACCAGCCCCUUUGCCUGGGACUAUGACCUGACCCGCAUCGUCGCCGCCUACCAGGAGAGGAACGUCACCACUGUCCUGACUGUCCCCAACCCCGUCUGGCUGGUGGGCAGGGCCGCCGAGGCUCCAUUUGUGAUUGAUGCUGUGAUCCGAUACCCGUUGGAAGUCAUCGAAUAUCCUUUCAGUUAAAGAGCACCUGUGGCUCAGUUUCUGCAAAGAGCAUUUCUUGGUUGUCCCAAGAAGGAACGGAGGCCUGGCUCAGACUCCUUAACUGUGUACCUAUCGCCCAGGAUUCUGGGAAAUGAUCAAAUUCGCCUGGAUCCAGUAUGUCAGCAUCCUGCUCAUCUUCCUCUGGGUAUUUGAGAGAAUCAAGAGAUUCGUGUUUCAGAAUCAGGUGGUGACCACCAUCCCCGUCCCGGUCCUGUCGCCUGGUGAGCUGCGGAAGGAGCACUUAGCCUGAGGACCCCGUGAGCGCGCUGGGCCGGGCCUGCCUACCUCACCGUCCCCAGAGAAAGGCCUUCCAGGACGUUCCGGAACUGAGUCCCCGGACACGUGCAGCAGACAAAGGAUGGUUCUCGGUUACUCUCCACGAAUCCCCCUGACCUCUCGGCCCCAGCCGGGAUCGAGGACUGGGGGUUCCUACGGGCUGUCACCUGACCACUUCUCUGCCUUAGACUGAAAUUUCAGGAGCAAACAUCUUGGAAAGAUUCCCACCUCUAGUCAAGCAGGACUUUCUCUCUCCUGGACAGAGAAACACACACACACACACACACACACACACACACACACACACGCGCAAAUGGAUCACACACACACACACGCAAAUGGAUCACACACACGCAGAUGGAUCACACACACACACACACACACACAUGCGCAAAUGGAUCACAUGUUCGCUCCUGACAUCUCAAUUCCCUUCCUUAUUUCCAGGAGUGAGGGGCUUUCCUGGGGAGAAUGAGGCGCCCCCGCUCAGGAGCAGGCCCAGACAGGGAUAGGGGCGGCUCAAGGACUCCAGACUGUCAGCAGCUCAGCCAGUGGCCCUUUAUCGUGCCCAGCUCUGGUGACCGGGUGCCUUGCCCAUCACCCUCUGCCCGUCCACUCUGACAGCGGCCGAAGUCAGCAGUGCAGUCUGCUUGCCCAGGGCCACAGCCGUGGGAGAGUCGGGGUUAGAACAGCACAUCUUUCUCCCGGCCCUGCCCCAGCAGCCUGGACCUGGCCCCUCUGCCCCAUCCCUGAAAAGGCCACAGAGGAGCCUUUGUUGGCUUCGGUGCCCACCCGUGGGCUUAUCUGCAGGGCUAGCCGGCCUCCCGAUAUCACGCUUCCCUAGACGCAGAACACCCCUCACAGGGAAGAGCUUGUGUCUGGAAGGACAUGUCUGCUAUGUUCAUGACUCAUGUCCACCCUCAGCGUGUGCCUCAGUUUACCUUGGAGGAAACAUUAUUUCCAAAAUACUCCCCCUUUUUUCCCCCUGUGGGAUGGGGACGCCUGGUGGUGUGCAGGGCUUAUCCUAGCUCUGUUCUCAGGGGUCACUCCUGGAGGUUCUUGGGGAACCAUAUGGAGUUCCAGGAUUGAUCACCGCGAGACCAGAGCCUUAACCCACAUACUGUCUCUCCAACACCACAGUACCUUUGGGGGGGUGGGGGAGAGGGAAACCAUCCCUAGUGGUGCUCGGGGCUCAUUCCUGGCUCUGGAUUCAGAAGCUACCCCUGGCAGUGCUCUGGGGACCAUAUGGGAUGCCAGGAAUUGAACCCGGGUAGCUGUGUGCAAGGCAAGUGCCCUGCCUGCUGGACUGUUUCUCUGCCCCAUCCCCCAGCCAGGAACCUUUUUUUCCAGGUUGACUGAGAGUCUCGCAAACAGCUGUUGCAAAGCACUCCAGUGCACUAAACCUUUGCCCUCUCCUUUCACAUUUAGGGCCUCUCAUAGGCAAGAGUUCGUUUGUUUUUUUUCCUUGAGAUUAAAAGGAAAAAUAGUUUCUGGUUUAAAUUACAAGGUAAUGAGAUCCAGAAAGAUGGAUAAGUUCUUUUUUUCUUUUUGGGUCACACCCGCCGAUGCACAGGGGUUACUCCUGGCUCUGCACUCAGGAAUUACUCCUGGCGGUGCUCAGGGGACCCUAUGGGAUGCUGGGAAUCGAACCCGGGUCGGCCGUGUGCAAGGCAAAUAAAUGCCCUACCUGCUGUGCUAUCGCUCCAGCCCCAAAGAUGGCUAAAAGUGUCAGUAAACAUAGCUUUACAUUUUACGACAUGAUCUUCGUGCAAGUUUGUCUAAAGACAAAUGGUAUGUUUUAACUUUCUCAUUAAAAUGCUCAAGGUGGAAGGUUGGUUGGCCUCUUCGGGGAGGUUUGGACAGAGAACGGGGAGCGCAGAGGUGCGCGCGUCUCCGGCUUACUCACCGCAGCACGGCUCUGCCAGCUCCCUCCAGAGACCGGGAGCUUUUGUUAGCUCUUUGGCAAAAGUCCCGGGUCCAAGCCCAAAUAAAUGAGUAUGUGGUGGAAUCCACAGGUCAUGUGGAAACCAGGGACUGGAAAAUUACAACUGCGUUGAGUGAAUAUCAAGUUAUUUACAGAUUAGAUGUUGGUUACUUCUGAACUUGAAUCGCAACGUGUAGUUGAGGGGAGAAAGGGGAGAAAUUGUAGAUAGGUGUGUGUGUGUGUGUGUGU